UGGGGAAUCUUGCACAAUGGGGGAAACCCUGAUGCAGCGACGCCGCGUGAACGAUGAAGCCCUUCGGGGUGUAAAGUUCUUUCGACAGGAACGAUAAUGACGGUACCUGGAGAAGAAGCUGCGGCUAACUACGUGCCAGCAGCCGCGGUAAUACGUAGGCAGCGAGCGUUGUUCGGAGUUACUGGGCGUAAAGAGUGCGUAGGCGGCGAGCCAAGUUUGGUGUGAAAUCUCCCGGCUUAACUGGGAGGGUGCGCCGAAGACUGGGAUGCUGGAGUGUGGGAAAGGCAGGCGGAAUUCCUGGUGUAGCGGUGAAAUGCGUAGAUAUCAGGAGGAACACCGGCGGUGUAGACGGCUUGCUAGACCAUAACUGACGCUGAGGCACGAAAGCGUGGGUAGCAAACA
rnacentral:rRNA from 1 species